rnacentral:rRNA from 1 species
GAUGAACGCUGGCGGCGUGCUUAACACAUGCAAGUCGAACGGUGAAGCAGAGCUUGCUCUGUGGAUCAGUGGCGAACGGGUGAGUAACACGUGAGCAACCUGCCCCUGACUCUGGGAUAAGCGCUGGAAACGGCGUCUAAUACUGGAUAUGAGCUGCGACCGCAUGGUCAGCAGUUGGAAAGAUUUUUCGGUCUGGGAUGGGCUCACGGCCUACCAGCUUGUUGGUGAGGUAAUGGCUCACCAAGGCGUCGACGGGUAGCCGGCCUGAGAGGGUGACCGGCCACACUGGGACUGAGACACGGCCCAGACUCCUACGGGAGGCAGCAGUGGGGAAUAUUGCACAAUGGGCGAAAGCCUGAUGCAGCAACGCCGCGUGAGGGAUGACGGCCUUCGGGUUGUAAACCUCUUUUAGCAGGGAAGAAGCGAAAGUGACGGUACCUGCAGAAAAAGCGCCGGCUAACUACGUG